UUACCUGAGCUUCUUAACCCUUUACAGGUAAAAGGACUUUGCCUCUGUCCGGGAGGGAUUUUAUAGCACUGAAUACAGAAAGGUGGUUACUCUUCCCUUUAAAUUUAUGACAAGGGCAUUCCACAAUUAACAGCUCCCCUCAUUGUUGCCUUAAGGAGCCAUGUCUUUGUUAUUUUUAUGUUUCCUGUUUGCUUCCCCUCCAAUGGCCUCCUUUGUUUUUCCCUGUGCAGUCUGGCAGGAUAAUAUCAAACAGCUAAACUGAGGUAUAUGUGGCAUUCAUAAGAAAUAAUACACAGAAGUCCCUCCUUUGCCACACCUGGCAUGUAGCUUAUUUCUCUAUUCAGUGGAAAGCCUCUUCUCAUUACCAUUAAUUCCCAUCAUUAUUUCAGAGCUCCCUGCCCUGCCUGGAGAUGACCCAGGGGACGGUUAUGAUGAUGCCAGAGAAAUUUCUGACCCUGAAGACGACCCUGGUUCUGGACCGAGUGCCCAGGAAGUCACGGGGGCCCAUGGGGAAAGUGUCAGGAACAGGGAUUCACGGACAGGCUGGAGUCUGCACUCGCUAAGAAGUGAAGGGUCCUCUGGGGCUGAGAGGGACGCCCUGUCCCCACCUCCUCAUGACCCAGGUUAUGAUGACGUUGAUGAUGGCGUCUCUGGGACAUCAAUAUAAGAAUGGCUGGGUUGAGAUCAAAUAUCCUGUGAGGAUGUAAAUGCUGUAUGGUUAGACUCUUCCUGUCCCAAAUGCUCAUUGACCCAUCGGGGUAGUGGAGACAAUCCCUACCUGGGAACUGCUUCAAUUAGCUUUUUGAUUUCAGUUUUGUUUAGAUGCAAGAAAUAAGUCUGACUGAGACAGGGGCUGUGAUUUCCCCUCUAAUUUCCCAUUGAUCAGACAGUCUGGAACUUCCCUGCUUUUUUGUCCCUAACACUUCUUCAUUGUGAAUUUUUGCUUUUUCUUAUUAAACCCUUUUUGAAGAUC